rnacentral:lncRNA from 1 species
ACAUAUAGUUUUGUGGAUAAUACAAUAAACUAUAGUGUUCUAGUUAAGUUGACCCUUCAAUCCAUAUGGUCAUAUUUAAAUAAUGAUGUCCUUGUGGAUAGCACAACAAAGCAACAUUAUUUAAAUGUGCCAUAAGCAUUAAUAUGUACUUGAUCAAUAUCAUGUCAAUUUCUUUUAUAAACUUUGUGGAUAGCACAACAAGCUCACUA